AAACACAGUCUAAACUUUUGGCAAAGUUUCAUAUAUUAUUGUGUUUCUAAGGCCGAGUCAACAACAUCUACACCAAUUUUCCACCUCAUCACCUCACUACUACAAUGGCUGGUAGGGAA